rnacentral:rRNA from 1 species
AGCGAACGCUGGCGGCAGGCCUAACACAUGCAAGUCGAACGAAGCCUUCGGGCUUAGUAGCGGACGGGUGAGUAACACGUGGGAACGUACCUUUUGGUUCGGAACAACUCAGGGAAACUUGAGCUAAUACCGGAUGAGCCCUUAGGGGGAAAGAUUUAUCGCCGAAAGAGCGGCCCGCGUUAGAUUAGCUAGUUGGUGAGGUAAAGGCUCACCAAGGCUACGAUCUAUAGCUGGUCUGAGAGGAUGAUCAGCCACACUGGGACUGAGACACGGCCCAGACUCCUACGGGAGGCAGCAGUGGGGAAUCUUGCGCAAUGGGCGAAAGCCUGACGCAGCCAUGCCGCGUGAAUGAUGAAGGUCUUAGGAUUGUAAAAUUCUUUUACCAGGGACGAUAAUGACGGUACCUGGAGAAAAAGCCCCGGCUAACUUCGUGCCAGCAGCCGCGGUAAAAC